CCUACGGGAGGCAGCAGUGAGGAAUAUUGGUCAAUGGACGAGAGUCUGAACCAGCCAAGUAGCGUGAAGGAUGAAUGCCCUAUGGGUUGUAAACUUCUUUUAUAAAGGAAUAAAACGAGGCACGUGUGCCUUUUUGCAUGUACUUUAUGAAUAAGGAUCGGCUAACUCCGUGCCAGCAGCCGCGGUAAUACGGAGGAUGCGAGCGUUAUCCGGAUUUAUUGGGUUUAAAGGGAGCGUAGAUGGGUUGUUAAGUCAGUUGUGAAAGUUUGCGGCUCAACCGUAAAAUUGCAAUUGAUACUGGCAGUCUUGAGUACAGUUGAGGUAGGCGGAAUUCGUGGUGUAGCGGUGAAAUGCUUAGAUAUCACGAAGAACCCCGAUUGCGAAGGCAGCUUACGAAACUGUGACUGACAUUGAUGCACGAAAGUGUGGGUAUCAAACAGGAUUAGAUACCCCAGUAGUC
rnacentral:rRNA from 1 species